UUUAACUAUUGGUCGCCAUUUUGAGAACCUGCGAACAGCCUUUGGAGGUGGUUGUUGAGCAGCAGACCUUUAAUUCUUUUGGUAUUUUAAAAAUAAUUUUUGCCUAUAUAUUAGGACCAAUGUCUCGAUUCAACAAUAAUCGUGGCGGCUUUGGAAUGAAUCAUUUCCAGCCGCGCAGAGGAGGUGGGCCCGGCGGCCCCAUGCGAGGUGGGCUUAUGGGAAACCCAAAUUUUAGGAAUAAUCCUUUCCAGAAUCAAAAUCAAAACCGGAGGGGGCACAACUUCAACAGACCACCACACCAAGGAUCGCAGAACACUCCCCAGAAGCCGCAACAGAACCAGUCGCUACCCAUCAUCCCUCCGCCGACUCCAGGCCCGGCUCUCACGAUGGAAGGCCCGAUUAAGCAGCAACAGCAGCAGAAACCGGCACAAGAGCAGCAGAAAUCCACAACCCCUGCGCCCCAGCCGAAAGUUCAGUCACCACCACCCACACCUAACGUGACCUCCCCUCAGCCAAACCAGGCAAACAAGAACCUGAACCAGCAGCUGAAGUCACCCGUGGCAAAUGCUAACGGUCAGCAGCAGAAGCCGACUCCACACCCAAGCCCGAAAGCAGUUGGGCCGCAGCAAGGUCAGAAACCAAGCCCUCAGCAAAGCCAGAAGACUGGUCCCCAGCAAGGCCAGAAGCCAGGACCCCAGCAGGGCCAGAAACCGGGUUCCCAGCAAGGCCAGAAGCCAGGACCUCAACAAGGCCAGAGACCAGGACUUCAACAAGGCCAAAAUACAGGGCCACCGGCCAUGAAAGUCAAAGUGGAGCUCAGUCAACAGUCACGAGAGACCAUGAACACUGACGCAAGUCAGUCAGAAGAGAGCCAAUCUAAGGCUGAGUUCAAGGCGACGCUGUCCAUGUUGCUGAAGCCAGGUGAGAAGUCGUACACACAGCGGUGCCGCUUGUUUGUUGGUAACCUGCCCAACGACAUCACAGAGGACGAUUUCAGGAAGAUGUUUGCAAAAUAUGGGGAGCCCACUGAGGUCUUUAUAAACAAGGGGAAAGGCUUUGGUUUCAUCCGACUGGAAUCUCGGGCACUUGCAGAGAUAGCAAAAGCUGAGCUGGAUGACACACCGAUGAAGGGCAGACCCUUGCGUGUCCGAUUUGCUACACACUCUGCAGCUCUGUCUGUAAAGAAUCUGUCACCAUUUGUUUCCAAUGAACUCCUAGAGGAAGCUUUCUCACAGUUCGGAAUGGUAGAGAGGGCCAUUGUGGUUGUAGAUGAUCGUGGACGCUCCACGGGCAGAGGAAUCGUUGAAUUUGCCUCCAGACCUGCUGCCAGAAAGGCUUUAGAGAGGUGCAACGAGGGGGUCUUUCUGCUCACUACGUCUCCUCGGCCUGUUGUUGUCGAGCCUCUGGAGCAGUACGAUAGUGAAGAUGGUCUUCCAGAGAAGUUGGCACAGAAGAACCCCAAAUAUAAAACAGAGCGUGAGGAGCCUCCUCGUUUUGCCCGUCCAGGCACUUUUGAGUUUGAGUAUGCAAAGCGCUGGAAAUCCCUUGAUGAAAUGGAAAAGCAGCAAAGACAACAGGUGGAGAAGAACAUGCGUGAGGCCCGUGAGAAACUCGAGAGCGAGAUGGAGGAUGCUUACCAUGAGCACCAGGCCAAUCUGCUCCGUCAAGAUCUGUUGAGGCGACAGGAAGAACUGAGGCGUAUGGAGGAGAUGCACAAUCAGGAGAUGCAAAAGAGGAAGGAAAUGCAGCUCAGACAAGAGGAAGAGCGACGCAGACAGGAGGAGGAGAUGCUUCGGAAGAGAGAGUUGGAAGAACAGAUGCGCCGUCAGCGUGAGGAGAACUACAGGAUGGGCAGCUUUAUGGAUAGGGACAGAGAAAUGAGAAUGCAUCCUGGUGGAGCUUUGGGCAUGGGUGAUAUGUCCUUUGGUGGAUCCUCACAGAAAUUCUCUAUGGGCGGACUUGGGUUUGAGAGUCAGCAGGGGAUGGGAGGACCAGGAGGCCUGAUGGGCAACGAAAUGCGCAAUGAGCGUUUCACUCCGGGUGGUGCGAGGGGAAUGGGUCCUGGUAACCCCGGGUAUGGCAGGGUCCGCGAGGAGUUUGAUGGUCCUGCUAAGAAACCCCGUUUUUAAACGCUGCUCUUUUGAUGCUUCCGGCAGCACCAUUUGUACAGUUUUUCUCUAAAAACAAAAAUGUUGAUUCGAAUUUCUUGUAUUUAAGUUUAAAUUGUUAAAACAUUUUAGCCAAUUUACUCAGUUAUUGAAAGUCAAUAUUUUCAUUUUUUACUUUGUCUCUAGUCUGAAAAGAGAAGUUACUCUUAGGUGAUCCAGUUGUUCUUUUUGACCAUGUAUAAUUUUUUUUUUUUUUUUUUUUUUUUUUUUUUUAAGAUGUGUUAUGCCCUGUGAGUCGUCGUGAAGUGAUAACUGUAACAUUUUUUCUGAACUUCCUAUGGCUGUGUUUUGUGCCAUGCAUUUGGAGUCAACGCAUGUACUAUAAUAAAGAGACAUUGGUUCAAUCAGGAAAAACCUUUAACCUUUUAUUCUUAAAAAUGAAACGUGUAGUACGUUCAGAAAGCAGCAAUGGGCUGUUUGCGGAAGUUGAAUAAUGUGGUUACCUCUGCCACAUUAGCUCUUAAAGAUUCUAUGUGUUAUUUUCUCAAGUCCUGUCCACUUUAUUUCAGUGAUGCGUACACAGUCUGAAAAGAAUUAACUCGUGGUAUGACAGAAAUUAGCUGCAAGUACGACAUAGCUUUAAUCAGCAAAUUCCCACAUUGAAAUGUAUUGUAAAAAUAUUUAUUCAUCAAAGGAAUAAUCAUAUUUUUAACACCUGCUUAAAAAGACUCUAGACUGGGAAGCAGUGUUGAACAGGGUUCUCCAGAUCAUUGAAAAGUUAAUUAAAAUAAGAUUUAACACAUUUUAAUAUUUUUAUGUUUCCUCUAAAUUAGAUAUAGCAUUUGCAGGUAUAUUUAUUUUUAAGACAAAGUUGUUAAGAUUCAUUUUUAUAAAUCGGUUAUUAAAAUGGUCGCAGUCUUGUUUUAAAGAACUUCAUUUAUUUUUAAUAAUGCAGAGUGGCUCUGAUAUUAUAGCCCUGUUUUCAAACAAGUACGUUUCCUUUUAUUUUUUUGAAAAAGGGGAACUUUUAGGCUUUUUCUUGGUUUUUAGGAGAGGCUUUUUGUGAGUUAUGUUGCAUUCAAUGAGUAACUCUGCUUUUACAGUCUUGCCUCUGGACAGAAGAAAUAUCACACAUGGAACCUUUAAGAAAACCUGUGUAAUACUGUGUGACUAACAGUGGUCUUACAGAAACAUAGUGCUGAAACCACACAGUCUGUCUUAGACAGGCAAAAUCCACUCAAGUGUGUGUCCUUGUGUGCAUGUUUGGAAGCUGGAGUUAUUGACUACAUUUACAUGCAGGUCAUUCUGUUAUUACUAUCAUUUCAAGCAUUUGUGAGGCAUUCUUUCAGAAGGAUAACUGUCAUAAAAAAUGCACAAAGCAAAUGCCACCAUCUUUAAAAAUGGAUGAUGUUGUUAAAUUGGGAUGAAAUUGUAGCGGUUUCUAUAUCAUUAUGUAAAGGAUUAAUUUUGAUAAUAAUGAAGGUUUCGAUAAGGGUGCACUGAUGUGAUUCUGGACUCCUAUAGGUUCUUUAAGGUGUUUGGGUUAACCUUAAGUGGUAGUAGUUCAAACAGCACCACGUUUCUGCAUCAGUAUAAAUUAUACAAUUGUAUGUAAAUGUAGUCAAUGAUGGUUAUGGACGAACUUGAGGCAUAUUAUAGGUCUAUAAAAGUUUGUGUGUAAAAUGUAUCUUUGGGGAAGUCCAGUGGCAAAUCUUGACAUCAGAUAUGUCCAUACUAUACUUAAACGCCUUGGAAGAUCCAUACUUGGAUACGUAUGUCAAGUCUUAGAAUUUCUAAAAGUCAAGUAACUAGCAACCAAUGGUUCAUCAGAGAUCUGACUUUUCAGGCUGUGACAUCAUAAAUGACUGAGUCACUGUUGGAUUUUGGAAAAUGAUUUUCAGUUAUAAAGCUCUAAUUUUGCUAGAGCAGCACGAAGACAAUAAGUCCCUUUGCAAGAGCGCAUAGGAUGCCCUAGUUUUCAAAACCGCAUGGAUGUGUGCAGUGGGGUUAAACGACAGUCUGAUUUGCACCUUUUCUAUUUCACUCUUAUGUUCUGGUGUAUCAGUUAACUUUUGAAAGACCAGCACUACUGUCUCAUUUAAAACUAGAGACUCCAAUGCUAUUGUAUCAACUUUGUCAACAGGGUUCAUGUGCUGUUUUUUUUCCAAGGACCUGCCUUGUUUGUGGUAAAUUUAUCACUAUUCCCUUCUCAGACUGACUUGUAUGACAAAUUGGGUUACAUUCAGGAGAACCCUUUCUCAAUCUCUGCGGAAAUGUUUAGCUGUAUCUGCAUUAAUGACUUUAAUGGCACCUGCCAUUAUAAUGGCAAUAAUAUCCUGUACUAUUAGGAUAUUCACAUUAUCUCCAAACACAGCACGAGAUCUAAUUAUUGGCUAAUUUCAUAUAAAGAGAAAUGGUCUUUGUUCUCUGACACCCCCCCCCCCCCCUCAAAAAAAAAAUAUCAGUAAUAAUGUAAGGAUGGCCCAACCAAAAUUGAGUGCCAUAAUUAAAUGGACACCUUCCUUCAUUCACAAGCCUACCUUUACAAGCUUUUGUCAGAGUUGUCUGGUAAGAGAUGGCCUGAAAAGUGAAUGUAAGUAAUUUUGAUCUUUUAAUAAUUUCAACUUUUGUUAUUAAGCAGAUUUUAUUUUUUGCGUGUAUUAACUUGGCUGUGUUCUAUUCCACUAGCUUUAACUUUGACAUUCUGUGAAUCAUUGAAAGUAUUUUUCAUUCAACAUUAGUUAUAAUUUUGUAGUUGGUGAAAGCUGGUUAAUUGCUGACCUUGCACAGCAACUAGCUGAUCAUUGUAGCUUUUUCUGUUUUUUCUUCAUGUAGAAGAAAAUGUCCUCCAUUUAAACAUGGAUUACAUAAGACAUCAAGAAUCAAAUAUUUUUAGUGCACCUGUUAAUGUCCUUCACAUAAUCAAACAUGCAAUGAAGGUAAGGAUUUUAACUUUAAUGUCUUCUCCUAUCAUGUGGCAUCCCAGAAUCCCACAAAACAAACCUGAAAUGGCCACAGAACAGAAGAUUUGGAUGUGUGGAUGCAUUCAGUAAUGGAAAGGAUAUAAAGGAGUGUUUAUCUCAAAUGUUACUUGUGUUUGUGUUAUGUACAUGUUUUCUUUAACAGGUAUGGACGGCUUUAAAGAUAAUGGACUGUGGCUGAAGUGUGGCUGGGUAGUGAGGACUUGGAAAAGCUGUAGCUAAGAAACUCAAACGCUGGAUCUGACACUAGUGAAAGUAGUGAGAUAUAAUCCGUAUUUAAUCCUGUACAUACAGUACAUGAUUUCCUUCCAAGAGAGUAGUCUAAUGAGGUACAUUAAUUAGAUGCUUGUCGUUGUGAUAUGGUAGUCAAACCCCUGGGAAGUCAACUGGAGUGUGAUUCUAAUCCAUCCUUGUAGCAUUCCUGAUGAAUUAGAAAACUUAUUAUUUUAUCCAAUAUUGUGUACUUUAAAUAUUUAGUGUAUAUUUUCUUAUUCAAUUUUGAAAAAAGUUUCAAAAAUUCAGUAAUAGUAAUUCACAGUGGAAUGCAAGAAAUUUUAAUUAAUAUAGUGCAGAUUAAUAUCUAUAAAUACACUUAAAGGCAUUCAAAAAUAUCAUAACUCACUGAUCUGAUGUGGGAAUGGAAUUUAAUGCCUUCAAAGUCCACAACACUAAAUUUGUGUUGGUCGGUUAUUUCUAAAUAUUCAAAAGAAUAAUGGUAUAGGUUUAAGGCACUAAUUGUUCUUUGCGACAUCAGUGCAUUGAGUAUAAUUUUCACAUCACACUACAUCUUAAUGAUGGAUUGUUAUGCCAGCUUUUUAAAAAAUAUAUUUUACAAAGAGAAAGCCUGUCUACAUGGUUUAUAUGCUCGUAUUAAAUGGUCAAUUUUGGAUGAGCGUUUUUCAUUGUAAAAUAACCAAAUCCUAUAACUAAUAGUUAUUUGUAGAGAUGUAUUUGCCAAAUUUUUCCUCAUUCUUUAGAGGAAUGAUUCCUUUUUAGUGCAGUGGCAUGCACUCUGAAUUUUUCUCUGAGUGUAUGGACACAUGACUGGAUUUUCAGAUUAAAAUAAAUGUUCCUCAAAGUAGUUGUGACAUAACUGAAAAACCGAAAAGGAUGUUGAAAGUCAAAUAGUCUCCAACAUUUAGGAAACAGUUUAGAUCUGCAAUCAAAGGUUUGUAGGUACCUUUAAAAUAUGCCCUUUAUACACCAAAUUCCUUUUAGGUAAAACAUUUAGAAAUGCAUCACUGCUUUUAGAUUAAAUUACAUUUUACUGGCUUAAACAUAGUUCUUUUACUUCUUAAUAACAUAGUGUGCAUUUUGAACUUUGUAACGUUGUCUGUGUUGUGUACAACUUGUUUUUCUUUAACAGGUUUGACCAUCUGUUAAGGUGUUGGACUAUGAAAAGGAAGUUGCCAAGCCAAGACAUUGAGAGUCUGUAGCUUCUGUUGGAGCGGUUUUGUAAAUGAAACUGUGUCACUCUAAAGGACCAGAGUGAUCAGAUAAUAGUGGCUCUGUAGCUUGGACUGUAGGUUAGAAUAUUUGGGGAUUUAAAUAUUUGGCUAUUGCUCUCGCACAAGUACACCGUUUUAAGGAAAAUUCUUAUAUUUAUGUCUAUUGUAUGUUUACAGUUGCUAUACUUUAAUGCAGAAAAAAUCCCUUUCUGCUAUUUUGACAUGAAAAUAAACCCUUGACAUUCUUAAAGGGGCCCGGUUACCCACUCCAUAUUUUUGUGUUCCACUUUGUCUUGUGCAUAUUGUACUGACUCUUUUUGCAGCCAUGCAAUUCACUCUAUCUUCAAGCUAGGUCUUCUGUCUUUGAGGUCCGUUUAAGAGUCCUCAGAUUUUCCUUUAUCCUUAUUUGCCACCUUCUGGAAGGACCUUGAGGUUCUUAGUUGUACUGGUCACAGAUGAUAGAUUCCAGAUAACAACUAAAAUGUGACAGAAGUAGAAAGUAUUCUGUAAAAUGUAUUGAGGACAGUUUGAAGGAUUUGACUCUUAUAAAUUAAUUCUAAAAUUUAAGUUUUAAGAAGAGCAUGUGAAUUUGUUACAUUUUUAUAUAUGAAAGAAAUAACGGAACUUGUUCUAGUUCCUCUUUAAGAGAUUAAGAGACUUUCAACAUUUAACUCAAAAGAUGGUAAUUACUGAGGCCUGAAACUGUGAACUGAGUUUGAUAUUGCCUACAUGUUUUAAUGUAUUCAAGUAAAAAUAGCUGUGAUGCUUGCUUAUACAGUGCUAUCAAACCAAAGCAAGUUACAUUACACAAAUACAUGGAUUACAUGUUGUAAAGUCCAGUGGAAUUAUAAAAACAAAAGAGGAACACAUUUACUCAACAUUUGAGGUCUGAAAUCGAUGCCUCUUUAUAGAUGUUUUUGACUGGAAUUAUGGUGACAAUGGAAAGCUUUGACAUUCAAGUAAAGUCGCAGCCACAGGCAAGUGAAACAUUGCAGUUAUCAGACUCUUCAUAAAUGGAAAUCAAACUUUUUGACAGUCACUCUUAACAGCUUUAACAAUUGUCUAAUGAUCACACAGCACAGGUGUGAUCAAUAUAGCAACUAAUUAAGAUCCAUGGUGGGAAAAAUGACCUGCUGCCUUCUAGGGGUGUAACGGUACGUGUGUGACGUUAAGUGCUAACAUGUAUACGUUUCUCUGUAGGAGGAAAAAGACUGCCCGUACCAGUGAUAUCCACAUACAAUCUUAUUUUUACUGCUACAUGAUUAGUUAAGGUUUUGGUUUUUUUUGCUUAAUAGAUAAAAAUUAAUGUCAUCUGUUAGACAGUGAGCUGAAUCCAGAACCAGUUUUAGGUAUUACUCUAGUGUUACUCUAGUAUUACUCUAACCUCAUGUUUAACUAAUUUAUCAGUUGGACUAAAAUCAAAAAAUCUCACCCUGUACUAUUUACACUUCGACUACAUGUAGUUCUCGUGUUUCACAGCUCAGUGAGCUCAGCUUUUAACGUCUUUAGAAACUUUUAUUGUAUUUCUUCAGUGCAAUCCAAUCCAAGGUCUUUUUCUUGGUUCAGUAGAAAGAGGGUUUUUUUUUCUGAUGGCAUUGACAGUCACACCAUUAGGAUUUCUAAAUGCACUCUAAUAAUGUGAUUCUGCCUAACCUGUUAAGGAGCAGAAUGUCAUUUUCUUUUCCAGAACAUGUUUGCUGUACACCAGGUAUGCAUUGGCCAUAUACUCUGGUAGGAGUAUUCUUGAAAGCUCAGCCAGAACUCUUCCACUCUGUGCUAACUCACACAACAUAUUUUAUAUUUAAACAUUAUAUUUAACUGAAACAUGAGUGCUCACAACAAACAAUACCUAUUCUGACAGUUCAGUUGUCCUCUUUUCAGGAGUUUUUUUUAAAUUAUUACUAGUGUUUAAACCUUUUUAUGAUUAAAUCAUUCCCCAAAUAUGGGAAAGUAUUUCUCUUUAUUCUCAAUUGAGUUUCUUUUGUCAAAGUAAGAAUUAUGGCCAACUUUUAAUUUAAAAAAAAAAAGAGGCUGCUCAUAGGAUAAUUUUGACUUUUGUUAGUCUUUUGUUGCCUCUACCAAAAAUAUACCACACUGACUGUUACAUCCCCACUCCCCACACUUUACAUUGUGACUCAAGUUUUAUGUAACAACUUUUUACUCCAGCACAUAGUCUCAUCAGUUCUGUCUGAAUUACCAUAAUAGUCAGAGCUACACCAGCAGACCGAUCAAGCUCACAUACCUGAGUGAGGCAGGAAGUUCGAUGCUGUCUUACGGUUGAAGAGGCAGCGGCUUGUUGUGCCUGUCUGGUUGUGCGUGUUUCAUGUCUUUGAGUAAAAGAGGUGCAUUAGCUGCUGUCAGCCAGCUUGUCAAAGACAGGCUGCCCCAGUCCACAGUAGAGGCUCUUCUCUGCAGUUGGGUUACAUUGACGAUGAGUAGUUCUGCAGAUGUCAGUGGACAGUAAAGCCUGGACUUGUUUGCACUGCAGCCAGAGGUAUGCUUACACAGAUCAGCUGAACAAGUAAGGUAAGUGUCCCAUCCAUGUUUAUAAUGCAAGAUGCACAGUUGUCCCAUGACUUAACUCUUCUGUCUUCUUAUUCCACGUCACUGCUCACAGUGAUGUCUUCAGGGCUUCUGGCAUCACACUUUCAAAGAAUGGCAUCACAGUGCAGAUCUCCCUUCAUACUUCUUGGCAAUAGAUUUGCUGUAGCCUGUGGAGUGUGUGGUUGUAGUACUUUGGCUCCUCUGUAUGUGUGCAUGAAAACAAGUGUUUGUGUGGAUUCAAAUAUAUGAAACACAGCGCUGAAGUGAAAGGUGUUCUAUUCUCUAAGUAUUGCCUGGUACAUUUAAGCUCCUAAGUGGAAAAAGCAGAAGUCUUGUCUACAACCGUACACGGUGUUUUGCAUUUUGUUUCCUUUUCUCGAAAACUUUCAUAUUUGAAAGUGAUUAGUUUGGAAAAAGGCAGGGUGUUUGCAGCAACAAACUGGGGGGAGGGGAACAACCAAAGCCCAGCUCUACUAGAGGCAAAAUACUAUGAGAAACUCUUCUGCUUUGGCCAUAACUUUGUUUUUUAUGUUUUGAAAUACUUAGUGCUUUCUGAUUGCAGUUAAUUUAUUCCUGCUUUGAUAAAGUAAUAGUACUGUUAAACACACAGUGGCCUUUCAUCAGCACAUCCUCAGUCAGUCGCAAUGCAGUUAAAAUCAGUCAUGAAAAGUACUUUCACACUGUGUAAGCAGCACUUUUAUCUUUGAACCCUCUAUUAGCACUACUCCUGACCCCCUCGCCCUCUCUGCCUGUCUGAAAUGACAUACUGAUUGUAUUGGUACUGGGUUGGGUCUUUGAAGUGUCGAAGUGACUGUACAGAAUGCUGUGGCAAGACUUAACUGGCACUAAUAAGCGGUCACACAUUCCUUGGGUUUUGGCUUCUCUUCAUUGAUUGCCAGUAAAUUUUAGGUUUCGUUUUUAAAUUUUAGUUUUAACUAAACACCUCUACAUGGUGAAGCUUCCCAGUAUGUCUCUGACCUAUUGAAACAUCAUGCUUCUUACUGGUCACUUCAGGUCAGAGGUUACUGUUGGUCCUACGUAUUGGGUUCAAAACACGUGGGGAUCGGGCUUUUCAGGCACUAGGCUGUGGAAUUCUCUUCCACUGUCUUUACGCUGUACAAACUCCAUUGACUCUUUUAAAAAGCAGCUGAAGACAUUUUUAUACAAACAAGCUUUUAAAAAAUGUUUUCAUUGUUUAAUAUUAUUAUAUUUAUAUUUCAGGGUUUAUUGUGAAGCUCUUUGAUUUUUAUCUGUGAAAGUGCUCUAUUAAAGAUUUCACAUACUGUUCGGGUCACCCUGGGUGGGCCUAUAGAAUGCAGUGAUGCUUUCACCACUUCCCCAACCUUUCUAAGUUGGUAGUUUUUUCUUAAAAAUAUAUAACAAUACUUUUAUAAUUUUGUGCAUAAAUAACUGGUCAGACUUGUAUGUGGAGGAAAUAGAAACACAAAUGUGCACUGUUUUUACAAAGGACCACUCAUGUUUCAGUAAUCUGUUUUAAACAGAACGAGCAUGAAAGUUUAUACUGUACCAUUUCAUCAUGUAGAGCAUUUGGGCUUUAAGUUAUGUAGUGUUUGUUGUCAAUCUGAUUUUAAUUGCAUAAAGACAGUUUGCUGCUUCUCGUCUGUAGAAUGAAUUCGGUGUAAAACUAGUGAGAAAACUGUUGUGUUGAAGCUGUGAAUUUGAGCUAUGAAAUGACACAUCCCCAUUUUAGCUUUUGAAAGGGCAUGAUGCUAACUGUAGAUAGGUUAGUAACGCAUGACUGUAUUCGCUGUGAAAUCGUCAUUCUCCGUUUUGCAAACAAUGUACCGGCAGGGUGAAAGCUGAACUGAACAUCACACUCCUGGGUGUCUUUUCUUGUAUCUGGUUGCUGAAUAAAGACACUUUUAGGUGAAGGGCGCACUUAACACAAGAUAUGGGUUAAUCUAUAUUUAAAUUAAAAAACAAAACAAAACACACACUCAAAGCCUUAGGGUACAUCAUCAUAUUCUUCUUUGCCUAAUGCACUUCAAACUCACAAGGAAAUUAUUUGCUGAGGUCAUAAAAUUAGGUGCAGUAUCGUUUUCUUGACUUCCAUUUAGUCUGGCUUUUGUAAUCGGGAGUUGCCCGAAACAAAGCAGAUUUAAUUCACUCCCAUAUUAGCUUCACAUUUAAAAACAAUACUCAGUCCAUUGUGUGUGUGUGUGUGUGUGUGUGUGUGUGUGUGUGUGUGUGUGUGUGUGUGUGUAUAUAUAUACAAUCUGUAUUCUCAAACACUGUUUUUAGGAACAAAACUGAUGGUUGUGUGGUUUGUCGGAGGAAAUUUGGACAAUCGUUUUAAAGAGUGUCCAGUGAUCAGCUUCAAAUGGAACUUUUUCUUUCUUCUCUCAGUACCUCUUAUUCCUCAUUCCUUCCAGUGACUCAUGAAUGGCAUGUCAUGCACUGACCAGCCAGCCAUUUGAAUAAAUGUACACAAGAAGACUGUGGCAGUUUCGUAUGUUGCUUGUAUUUAGAUCUCUCAUCUCUGUAGGGCUCCGCUGCCCUUGAGUCUCUCGAGCUGUGGCUAGACUGUGUUCAGCCAAUGGCGGCUGUGAUGAUUUCAUCUCUGCACUGUGAUCCAUUUUCUAACCAUGCUCUGAGUCCUGAUUGGCUACAAUCCUUCCUUAUAUCCUGUUGGAGUGUGAUGCCAGAACUACCCUUCAGUCCUGUAAUGGCCUCUUCAGAAAGGGCCCUGCCCAGAGUCCGAAAGACUGACACUGAGAACGACCACGGCUUCGUCAGUGCUAGGUUUAUGGUGUAGCUCCAGUUUGGGGUACCUUUGCAGUAAAACACCUGAUGUGUCAGUAUGAAAGUCCAGCUUCACAUGGCUUAGUAACAGAUGGACCUACCUACCUCUCAAGGAUUGCAACGGAUUCGAAUGUUGUCAUGAAUUUGUCUGUCCUCUCUGCAGUUUGUAAUAAAUUAUUCAUCUUCUGGGUGCUGAGAUGCCCUUCAGUAACAAACACAUGCAUACACGUGCACACACUUCAUUCAUUCACACAUUUUACUUACCCUCACACGUUUAUGUUAGAACUAACUCAUUUUAUUUUAAACAUCUGUCACAUGACAUACAGCACAUACAACACAUACACCUACACACACCUACAUACCUACACACACACGCAGGCUCUCACUUUUGUGUGUUUAUGCAUUGCAACCACAGUGAGUAGGGUUUGUGAGUAAACCUGGUGAUCAGUCCACUGUCAGGCUCUCAUUGUCUGUCUCUUGCUGCAGGAUCCUCGACCAUUAGAGGGAGGCUGAGGAUCUGCACGGAUUUUCCACCGGAAAAUGAAGAUUGUCUUGUAAAAUGUCAAAGCUGGAGGAAGCUCGCUGUAACAGGACGCCAGGAUGACCUCCAGGCUGGCUCAUGUGCAGUUCAUCCUUCAAAACAUGGAUGUGAAAUGUGGCGGAGCAGUACCAGAACUCAUCCAGCAGAGGGCAGUCUGCAGUCCAGAGGAGAGAUGCACUGUUUUCUCUUAAUAAUAAAAGAUAUAAACCUGA